GACGAACGCUGGCGGCGUGCUUAACACAUGCAAGUCGAACGAAGAGCGAUGGAAGCUUGCUUCUAUCAAUCUUAGUGGCGAACGGGUGAGUAACGCGUAAUCAACCUGCCCUUCAGAGGGGGACAACAGUUGGAAACGACUGCUAAUACCGCAUACGAUCCAAUCUCGGCAUCGAGGAUGGAUGAAAGGUGGCCUCUAUUUAUAAGCUAUCACUGAAGGAGGGGAUUGCGUCUGAUUAGCUAGUUGGAGGGGUAACGGCCCACCAAGGCGAUGAUCAGUAGCCGGUCUGAGAGGAUGAACGGCCACAUUGGGACUGAGACACGGCCCAGACUCCUACGGGAGGCAGCAGUGGGGAAUCUUCCGCAAUGGACGAAAGUCUGACGGAGCAACGCCGCGUGAGUGAUGACGGCCUUCGGGUUGUAAAGCUCUGUUAAUCGGGACGAAAGGCCUUCUUGCGAAUAGUUAGAA
rnacentral:rRNA from 1 species